AGAGGGAGGCAGAAGAGGAAUCUUGGAGCGAUUCGAUGUGAGAAAGACUUGAUCAUAGUUGCUGGCUUUGACGAUGAAGGAAGGGGUCUGGGAGCCAAGGAAUGAAGAUGGCUUCUAGAAGCUGGGAAAGGCAAGGAAAUGAAUUGCCGCCAAGAACCUCCAGAAAGGAAUGCAGCCCUGUAAAAACCUUGAUUUUUGCUCAGUGAGAAUGAUUUCAGACUUCUGAUCUCAAGAACUGUAAGAUAAAUCACAUACUGUCACAAGACAUAACGAAAAGUGUGUGAAUUGUUGUUGGUGAGAAAACAUAAACAACCUUUGGGGAUGCGACUUUUCUUCAGUUGAGUAUGGACAUUGAACCUCUCCUAACGCUGUGUUCAAUGAUAAGACCAAGCCUAAGAUGUUUUAUGAUUUCCAGAAGUCAGUCAAUUAACAUUUGGAGAAUUCAAGGCCAUUAUCUCUCACAUCAAACACAUUCACUGAUGACUGAAGAUAAAAAAGAAACUCCAUAGGAAAUAUUAAAGGAUGUGAUGGCAGGUUUACAAUGCUGUUAAAAUAUAAAGUCUAAAAUGUAGUAUGUGGAGUUGUUUCGGAACUGACCUCCUACCCCAGCUCCGGUCACGACAGAAACUUUUAAGGAUCUUGAAUAAAUGAAGGUGUGUUUCUAUUGAUUCUGUUUUACACAAGUUUAAGACAAGGCUUUGAAAGUAAUGCCUAAAGCACACAUUGAUUUGUUUUUUUAAUAUAUGUUUGCUAAAAGAUUAAGCCAUCAAGAAGAUAUUUUCUAUCUAAAUAUUCUUUAUUGUUUAACAGGUUUUUUUCUCCCAGAAUUGCUUCUUUAGUUUCUGCCUUAUUCCUGAGAGAACAGUGGGGUUCUAUGAGGAUGUCCAAUAAGGUGACUUGAAGGAGAACAACCGAUAGAAUCACAAUGACAGUUUAAUGCUGGGAGAUACAGAUAAGAGCUCGUCUGUAAUCACAAAAGCCCAGCAUCUCAGAGAAGGAAGGGCCCUUAGAAUUCCAGUGUAAAGCAGGAAAUCCUAUUGCCGCAUGCUGGACAGGCUGUCAUCCAGCCUCCAGUUGAACAUCUUCUGUGAAGCAAAGCUCACCACCUCCCAAGCACUUGCUAUUCCAUUGUUUGUUUCCAAUUUAACUUCCACCCAUACUCUCAGUGCUGUUUUCUAGAUGACCCAUAUCCAAUCCUAUUUGCCAUAUUAUUUCUUCAAUUACUAGAAAGCAACUCUCAUAUCCCCCUACUUAGUCAUUUGCUCCUUUCUAAAGCCAACAAGUGUAGGGCAGGCAUAUGUAUGCAUGUCUGUUAUGUUGGACCCUCCUACAGUCUGAUGAUUACUUAGUGCAAUAACUUGUUGAUGCAUUCAUCAAAUGUGUGCUGAAUGCCUGGCAAGGAACAUGGACCAGUUCCCUGUCCUCAUGAAGACUACAUUCUAGUAAGUCAGACGAUGAACAAAUAAACAAGUAAAUAGUUAAGAUUAAAAAUAAUGAAAAGUGAAUACUUACUGAUUAGGGAGAUGAUUUUUAAGAUGAGACCUAAAGGAUAAAAAGGAACUAGGCCUGCAAACAGUCAGAGAGGAGGAUUCAAGGGCAGUAAGAACAAAGGCCCUAAGGUAGAAAAAGAACCUGGCCUCUUCUAGGUCAGUGCUCCAGGUCAGGGACUCUAGAACAUUAGUGGGAGAGAAGCUGAAGUGGCAGAAACUGAAACUGGAGAAGCAGACAGAACCAGACCAUGGUAUGGAGUUCGGAUUUUAUUCUAGGUGCAAUAGGAAUC
rnacentral:lncRNA from 1 species